rnacentral:rRNA from 1 species
CCUACGGGUGGCUGCAGUGGGGAAUAUUGGACAAUGGGCGAAAGCCUGAUCCAGCCAUGCCGCGUGUGUGAAGAAGGCCUUCGGGUUGUAAAGCACUUUCAGUGGGGAAGAAAGCCUUGGGGCUAAUACCCUCGAGGAAGGACAUCACCCACAGAAGAAGCACCGGCUAACUCCGUGCCAGCAGCCGCGGUAAUACGGAGGGUGCGAGCGUUAAUCGGAAUUACUGGGCGUAAAGCGAGCGUAGGCGGUCUGAUAAGCCGGUUGUGAAAGCCCCGGGCUCAACCUGGGAACGGCAUCCGGAACUGUCAGGCUAGAGUGCAGGAGAGGAAGGUAGAAUUCCCGGUGUAGCGGUGAAAUGCGUAGAGAUCGGGAGGAAUACCAGUGGCGAAGGCGGCCUUCUGGACUGACACUGACGCUGAGGUGCGAAAGCGUGGGUAGCAAACAGGAUUAGAUACCCGAGUAGUC